rnacentral:rRNA from 1 species
UCCGUAGGCGGUGUGGCAAGUCGGAAGUGAAAUCUCUGGGCUUAACUCAGAGGCUGCUCCCGAAACUGCCAUGCUAGAGUGUGAGAGAGGCGAGUGGAAUUGCGGGUGUAGCGGUGAAAUGCGUAGAUAUCCGCAGGAACAUCCGAGGCGAGAGCGGCUCGCUGGAUCGCAACUGACGCUGAGGGACGAAAGCUAGGGGAGCAAACAGGAUUAGAUACCCUGGUAGUCCUAGCCCUAAACCAUCAGGACUUGGGGUUUGCCCUGUACGGGGCAAGUCCCGUAGCUAACGCGUUAAGUCCUGCGCCUGGGGAGUACGGUCGCAAGGCUGAA